AUUGAACGCUGGCGGCAGGCCUAACACAUGCAAGUCGAACGAGUGGCGGACGGGUGAGUAGUGUCUGGGAAACUGCCUGAUGGGGGGGGAUAACUACUGGAAACGGUGGCUAAUACCGCAUACCAUCGGAUGUGCCCGGAUGGGAUUAGCUAGUGGGUGGGGUAACGGCUCACGUAGGCGACGAUCACGAGCUGGUCUGGAAGGAUGACCAGCCACACUGGAACUGAGACACGGUCCAGACCCCUACGGGAGGCAGAAGUGGGGAAUAUUGCACAAGGGGCGCAAGCCUGAUGCAGCCAUGCCGCGUGGAUGAAGAAGGCUUUCGGGUUGUAAAGUACUUUCAGCGGGGAGGCGUUACCCGCAGAAGAAGCACCGGCUAACUCCGUGCCAGCAGCCGCGGUAAUUC
rnacentral:rRNA from 1 species